rnacentral:lncRNA from 1 species
CAAUGUUAAAGUUUGCUUCCUGUCGAAGGCUGGACCUUUUCCAGAUCUCUGGAGCCCUUUUCAGCUCAUUAGCAUUUGUGCUUGCCCUGGGGGAAGAAUCCACCAUUCCAGCUCAGGCAAUCAGCUGCCAGCUCCUCCCCUCUGUGAGCAAUGAUCCUUACUUCAGACCUUGCCUGAACAUUCUUCAUAGCACUUGCCUUCUUUUUCCUGAAAUCAAGGGUGUGUGGACCACCUGGGGAUCUCCAUUCCCACACACAGCAUCCUCUCCCACUGAGGCCAGACAUGGCAGUCCAUUAAGGGAACAGAUUCCAAAGAUAGGCAGCAGCUUUAUGGCCAGUCAGUGCUACAGUUAUUGGAGGACCCUCAUGAAAACUGAGCUGCACAUCUGCUACCUACAUGUCAGGGGCCUUAGUCCAGCCUGUGUAUCCUAUUUGUAUUGUCAGAAGAUGACCUCAGAACUCCUGAUCUUCAUGUAAUGGGUAGUUGUUGAUCCCAAUGCAUAUGCUAGAAAUUGACCACCAUUAUGAGGAAGACCAGCAAGAGUCUUCCACUGUUGAGCUAUUUCUCCUGCCCUAUGUUGCUUAUUUAUGAUCAAUAUUUGUAUUACUCCUAUUUUCACCUGUCCAUUUGUAACUGUUUAAGCAUGCAUUCCCUUUUAGUAAAAUGUUAUUAAUGUUGUAGUUUAAACUGGUAUACUUCAUGUUUCUGGAAGCUGAAUACAGGACUGCAGUUUAUUUAUAAUUGUUUGUAUUAGCUUCAGCAAAGAACUGUGAGUUCUAUCACUUUUCUUUCCUUGGUUGAUAUUUGCAGUGGAAUGAGGAUCUUAAUAUAUAACUUUUCCUGUUGGAACUAGUUGUAUAGACCACACUGGCAUCCAGCUCAAUGACAUACACCUGUCUGUGACUCUAGGAUUAAAGACAUGAUCAAAUACACUCAGUUUGUGUAUUAAUUUUGUAGUUAGUAGUUGUUCAUACAAUUUCUUAUAUGUGUGCUUGAUACUGUUGAUCUGUUUCCCCCUGCAUC